GAUGAACGCUGGCGGCGUGCCUAAUACAUGCAAGUCGAGCGAACAGAUGAGGAGCUUGCUCCUCUGACGUUAGCGGCGACGGGUGAGUAACACGUGGAUAACCUACCUAUAAGACUGGGAUAACUUCGGGAAACCGGAGCUAAUACCGGAUAAUAUAUUGAACCGCCUGGUUCAAUAGUGAAAGACGGUUUUGCUGUCACUUAUAGAUGGAUCCGCGCCGCAUUAGCUAGUUGGUAAGGUAACGGCUUACCAAGGCAACGAUGCGUAGCCGACCUGAGAGGGUGAUCGGCCACACUGGAACUGAGACACGGUCCAGACUCCUACGGGAGGCAGCAGUAGGGAAUCUUCCGCAAUGGGCGAAAGCCUGACGGAGCAACGCCGCGUGAGUGAUGAAGGUCUUCGGAUCGUAAAACUCUGUUAUUAGGGAAGAACAAAUGUGUAAGUAACUAUGCACGUCUUGACGGUACCUAAUCAGAAAGCCACGGCUAACUACGUG
rnacentral:rRNA from 1 species